rnacentral:lncRNA from 1 species
GGAGGAGGAGGAACUGAAGAGCCGACUGCAGCUGCUGGAGCCCAGCUGUGGGCCUCAUCCCCGCAGCCCGACCUGUCUCAGCCGGACAGCCAGGAUGGUGCUGUCAGCGGCCCAGUCGCGCAGCCGCACUCUCCAGCCGGGCCCCAGCGCCACCUCUUUGGCUGCUGAGAGAUCGGGGAGCAGCCGGGGACAGCAGGGUGAAGAUCCAGCCGUGAACCGCCCUGUGCAGGAUGUCCAUGACGCUCCAGCCCUGAGGAGGGUCCGGGUGAAGCCAAGCAGGAGACGAAGAUCGCAAGGCACCGCAGGGAGGUAACGGAUCAGCCCUGUUGUGUUCCCCUUAACCCUCCAAAUGUCCCAGUUCCCCCUUCGGAGCCCAGCUGGCAGCUCCUUCUCUGAGCCAGUGUCCCAGCCCACGCAGAG